rnacentral:rRNA from 1 species
GACGGAGGGUGCUAGCGUUGUUCGGAUUCACUGGGCGUAAAGGGUGCGUAGGUGGCCAGGUAAGUUCGGUGUGAAAGCUCGGAGCUUAACUCCGAAAUGUCAUUGAAUACUAUCUGGCUAGAGGGUCGGAGGGGAGACUGGAAUUCUCGGUGUAGCAGUGAAAUGCGUAGAUAUCGAGAGGAACACCAGUGGCGAAGGCGAGUCUCUGGACGACACCUGACACUGAGGCACGAAAGCUAGGGGAGCAAACAGG